rnacentral:rRNA from 1 species
GAAAACGACUGCUAAGACUGGAUAGGAGACAAGAAGGCAUCUUCUUGUUUUUAAAAGACCUAGCAAUAGGUAUGCUUAGGGAGGAGCUUGCGUCACAUUAGUUAGUUGGUGGGGUAAAGGCCUACCAAGACUAUGAUGUGUAGCCGGGCUGAGAGGUUGAACGGCCACAUUGGGACUGAGACACGGCCCAAACUCCUACGGGAGGCAGCAGUAGGGAAUUUUCGGCAAUGGAGGAAACUCUGACCGAGCAACGCCGCGUGAACGAUGAAGUAUUUCGGUACGUAAAGUUCUUUUAUUAGGGAAGAAUAAAUGAUGGAAAAAUCAUUCUGACGGUACCUAAUGAAUAAGCCCCGGCUAACUAUGUGCCAGCAGCCGCGGUAAUACAUAGGGGGCAAGCGUUAUCCGGAAUUAUUGGGCGUAAAGGGUGCGUAGGCGGUUAAAUAAGUUUAUGGUCUAAGUGCAAUGCUCAACAUUGUGAUGCUAUAAAAACUGUUUAGCUAGAGUAAGAUAGAGGCAAGUGGAAUUCCAUGUGUAGUGGUAAAAUGCGUAAAUAUAUGGAGGAACACCAGUAGCGAAGGCGGCUUGCUGGGUCUUUACUGACGCUGAGGCACGAAAGCGUGGGGAGCAAACAGGAUUAGAUACCCUGGUAGUCCACGCCGUAAACGAUGAGUACUAAACGUUGGGUAAAACCAGUGUUGAAGUUAACACAUUAAGUACUCCGCCUGAGUAGUACGUACGCAAGUAUGAAACUUAAAGGAAUUGACGGGACUCCGCACAAGCGGUGGAUCAUGUUGUUUAAUUCGAAGGUACCCGAAAAACCUCACCAGGUCUUGACAUGCUUCUGCAAAACUGUAGAAACACAGUGGAGGUUAUCAGUUGCACAGGUGGUGCAUGGUUGUCGUCAGCUCGUGUCGUGAGAUGUUGGGUUAAGUCUCGCAACGAGCGCAACCCUUAUUGUUAGUUACCAGCACGUAAUGGUGGGGACUUUAGCAAGACUGCCGGUGAUAAAUUGGAGGAAGGUGGGGACGACGUCAAAUCAUCAUGCCCCUUAUGACCUGGGCUACAAACGUGAUACAAUGGCUGUUACAAAGGGUAGCUGAAACGCAAGUUUUUGGCGAAUCUCAAAAAAACAGUCUCAGUUCGGAUUGAAGUCUGCAACUCGACUUCAUGAAGUUGGAAUCGCUAGUAAUCGCGAAUCAGCAUGUCGCGGUGAAUACGUUCUCGGGGUUUGUACACACCGCCCGUC